AACGAACGCUGGCGGCAUGCCUAACACAUGCAAGUCGAACGAGACCUUCGGGUCUAGUGGCGCACGGGUGCGUAACGCGUGGGAACCUGCCCUUAGGUUCGGCAUAACUCCCCGAAAGGGGUGCUAAUACCGGAUAAUGUCUUCGGCCCAAAGAUUUAUCGCCUUUGGAUGUGCCCGCGUUGGAUUAGCUAGUUGGUAGGGUAAAAGCCUACCAAGGCGACGAUCCAUAGCUGGUCUGAGAGGAUGAUCAGCCACACUGGGACUGAGACACGGCCCAGACUCCUACGGGAGGCAGCAGUGGGGAAUAUUGGACAAUGGGCGAAAGCCUGAUCCAGCAAUGCCGCGUGAGUGAUGAAGGCAUUAGGGUUGUAAAGCUCUUGUACCCGGGAUGAUAAUGACAGUACCGGGAGAAUAAGCUCCGGCUAACUCCGUG
rnacentral:rRNA from 1 species